GCCCGGGUGGUGGAAUGGUAUACACGACAGACUUAAAAUCUGUUGGCGCAAGCCUUGUGGGUUCGAGUCCCACCCCGGGCA
rnacentral:tRNA from 1 species